rnacentral:rRNA from 1 species
CCGGGUGACGAGCGGCGGACGGGUGAGUAAUGUCUGGGAAACUGCCUGAUGGAGGGGGAUAACUACUGGAAACGGUAGCUAAUACCGCAUAACGUCGCAAGACCAAAGAGGGGGACCUUCGGGCCUCUUGCCAUCAGAUGUGCCCAGAUGGGAUUAGCUAGUAGGUGGGGUAAUGGCUCACCUAGGCGACGAUCCCUAGCUGGUCUGAGAGGAUGACCAGCCACACUGGAACUGAGACACGGUCCAGACUCCUACGGGAGGCAGCAGUGGGGAAUAUUGCACAAUGGGCGCAAGCCUGAUGCAGCCAUGCCGCGUGUGUGAAGAAGGCCUUCGGGUUGUAAAGCACUUUCAGCGAGGAGGAAGGUGGUGAGCUUAAUACGCUCAUCAAUUGACGUUACUCGCAGAAGAAGCACCGGCUAACUCCGUGCCAGCAGCCGCGGUAAUACGGAGGGUGCAAGCGUUAAUCGGAAUUACUGGGCGUAAAGCGCACGCAGGCGGUUUGUUAAGUCAGA